UGUGGGCAUUAGAUGAAUCUAUCCUUUUAAAUGGGCAAUUUGCAUUUGAAAUUUUCAUUGACGCUUUAUCACCUUAGAGAACUGACGCCCACG